rnacentral:rRNA from 1 species
UACGUAGGGUGCAAGCGUUAAUCGGAAUUACUGGGCGUAAAGCGUGCGCAGGCGGUUAUGUAAGACAGGUGUGAAAUCCCCGGGCUUAACCUGGGAACUGCAUUUGUGACUGCAUAGCUAGAGUACGGUAGAGGGGGAUGGAAUUCCGCGUGUAGCAGUGAAAUGCGUAGAUAUGCGGAGGAACACCGAUGGCGAAGGCAGCCCCCUGGGCCAAUACUGACGCUCAUGCACGAAAGCGUGGGGAGCAAACAGG